rnacentral:rRNA from 1 species
UACGUAGGGACCAAGCGUUGUUCGGAUUUACUGGGCGUAAAGGGCGUGCAGGCGGUUUGUUAAGUGCAGGGUGAAAGCUCCCGGCUCAACUGGGAGAGGUCCUUGCAUACUGGCGAACUCGAGGGAGGCAGAGGAAAGUGGAAUUCCCGGUGUAAUGGUGAUAUGCGUAGAGAUCGGGAAGAACACCAGUGGCGAAGGCGACGUGCUGGGUUGCACCUGACGCUGAGAUGCGAAAGUGUGGGGAGCAAACGGG